GUUUUUUUUUGUUUUUUUUUUGGUGUUUUGGGGGGGGGGGAGUUGGCUGCUGUUUGACGUAACUGAUGGCAGCAGCAGCAUGAGCCAUCCCUUGGCAGAUUUACUUUUCCGAGAUGAAAACCUGCGUGGUUUAAAACUUCUGACUCAUCAAAGGAGCAAACAAAUCGGCCUCGCGUGAGGGCUCAGAAACACUCGCACGCUGUAGGACUCGGUGAGAGAUGUGACGGGGUUCUUCAAAAUUGUCUCGUAGGUGAUGGCUGCCGCCGUGGGGUUCGCGCGCCUCGAGGAGGAGCGGCUCCCGAGCGAAGGGGGAGCUGCUGCCUGGAGGCCUAGGAAAGAAUGUUUACUGAAGAAUAUUCCAAACAUUGCUGAUAAUGAGGCUCAAGAAGGUGAAUUCCCUGAUAUCCCUCACUAUGAAAAAGAUGCUAGCGGAUCUCCUGUUGAAUCUGCUCACUUCUGCCCCGAUCUGGAAGACUCGGAUGGUGAAGCAUCGAGUAUGCCUGAGGCUGCAGCGUUUCCUGAGCUUCAGACUGCCUCUGAGUAUGAGGUGGAGGACUGGGAUAAAGAAUUGGAGGACUCUGAAUUUACUCCUUAUGAUGCUGGCGAUCUCCACUGUGGAAGCUUUCAGGAAAAUAAUCUUUUGGCCUCAUAUUCAUGGCGAGAGGAUUCCUUUUACAACCCAGGGUGUCACCAUGCAGCUUGCGUUGCUUUUACAUCGCCAAUUAGAAUGACUGAGACUGGCCAGUUUGAUGAUGCUGAAGAAUGA
ensembl:lncRNA